rnacentral:misc_RNA from 1 species
GAUGAAGAACGUAGCGAAAUGCGAUACGUAAUGUGAAUUGCAAAUUCAGUGAAUCAUCGAGUCUUUGAACGCACAUUGCGCCCCCUGGUAUUCCGGGGGGCAUGCCUGUCCGAGCGUCAUUGCUGCCCUCAAGCCCGGCUUGUGUGUUGGGCCCCGUCCUCCGAUUCCGGGGGACGGGCCCGAAAGGCAGCCGCGGCACCGCGUCCGGUCCUCGAGCGUAUGGGGCUUUGUCACCCGCUCUGUAGGCCCGGCCGGCGCUUGCCGAUCAACCCAAAUUUUUAUCCAGGUUGACCUCGGAUCAGGUAGGGAUACCCGCUGAACUUAAGCAUAUCAAUAAGCGGAGGA